rnacentral:rRNA from 1 species
UACGAAGGGGGCUAGCGUUGCUCGGAAUCACUGGGCGUAAAGCGCACGUAGGCGGGUCGUUAAGUCGGGGGUGAAAUCCUGGAGCUCAACUCCAGAACUGCCUUCGAUACUGGCGAUCUUGAGUCUGGGAGAGGUGAGUGGAACUCCGAGUGUAGAGGUGAAAUUCGUAGAUAUUCGGAAGAACACCAGUGGCGAAGGCGGCUCACUGGCCCGUUACCGACGCCUCAGGCGCGACAGCGUGGGGAGCAAACAGGG